UACGUAGGUCCCGAGCGUUGUCCGGAUUUAUUGGGUUUAAAGGGUGCGCAGGCGGCACGGCAAGCCGGCGGUCAAAUCGCGGGGCUCAACCCCGCCCAGCCGUCGGAACUGCCGGGCUAGAGUGGGCGAGAAGUGCGCGGAAUGCGUGGUGUAGCGGUGAAAUGCAUAGAUAUCACGCAGAACUCCGAUUGCGAAGGCAGCGCACCGGCGCCCUACUGACGCUCAGGCACGAAAGCGUGGGUAUCGAACAGG
rnacentral:rRNA from 1 species